UACGUAGGGUGCGAGCGUUGUCCGGAAUUAUUGGGCGUAAAGAGCUCGUAGGCGGUGUGUUACGUCGGCCGUGAAAACCUGCAGCUUAACUGUGGGCGUGCGGUCGAUACGGGCAUCACUGGAGUUCGGCAGGGGAGACUGGAAUUCCUGGUGUAGCGGUGAAAUGCGCAGAUAUCAGGAGGAACACCGGUGGCGAAGGCGGGUCUCUGGGCCGAUACUGACGCUGAGGAGCGAAAGCGUGGGGAGCGAACGGG
rnacentral:rRNA from 1 species